CUAAUACAUGCAAGUCGAGCGGACAGAUGGGAGCUUGCUCCCUGAUGUUAGCGGCGGACGGGUGAGUAACACGUGGGUAACCUGCCUGUAAGACUGGGAUAACUCCGGGAAACCGGGGCUAAUACCGGAUGCUUGUUUGAACCGCAUGGUUCAAACAUAAAAGGUGGCUUCGGCUACCACUUACAGAUGGACCCGCGGCGCAUUAGCUAGUUGGUGAGGUAAUGGCUCACCAAGGCAACGAUGCGUAGCCGACCUGAGAGGGUGAUCGGCCACACUGGGACUGAGACACGGCCCAGACUCCUACGGGAGGCAGCAGUAGGGAAUCUUCCGCAAUGGACGAAAGUCUGACGGAGCAACGCCGCGUGAGUGAUGAAGGUUUUCGGAUCGUA
rnacentral:rRNA from 1 species